rnacentral:rRNA from 1 species
GACGAAGGGGGCUAGCGUUGUUCGGAAUUACUGGGCGUAAAGCGAGUGUAGGUGGUUGUCGUAGUCAGGCGUGAAAGCCUUGAGCUCAACUCAAGAAAUGCGCUUGAUACUGGGCAGCUAGAGGACCGGAGAGGAUAGUGGAAUUCCCAGUGUAGUGGUGAAAUGCGUAGAGAUCGGCAGGAACACCCAGGGGGAAACCAGUCGACUGGGCAUCUACUGACGCUGAGGUGCGAGAGCGUGGGGAGCGAACCGG